rnacentral:rRNA from 1 species
AGAGUUUGAUCCUGGCUCAGAUUGAACGCUGGCGGCAUGCCGUACACAUGCAAGUCGAACGGUAACGCGGGGGCAACCCUGGCGACGAGUGGCGAACGGGUGAGUAAUACAUCGGAACAUAUCCAGUAGCGGGGGAUAACCUAUCGAAAGAUGGACUAAUACCGCAUACGAUCUACGGAUGAAAGCAGGGGACCGCAAGGCCUUGCACUAUUGGAGUGGCCGAUGUCGGAUUAGCUAGUUGGUGGGGUAAAAGCUUACCAAGGCGACGAUCCGUAGCUGGUCUGAGAGGACGAUCAGCCACACUGGAACUGAGACACGGUCCAGACUCCUACGGGAGGCAGCAGUGGGGAAUUUUGGACAAUGGGCGCAAGCCUGAUCCAGCCAUGCCGCGUGAGUGAAGAAGGCCUUCGGGUUGUAAAGCUCUUUCGGUGAAGACGAAACGGUUCAUGCUAAUAACGUGAACUAAUGACGGUACUCACAGAAGAAGCACCGGCUAACUACGUGCCAGCAGCCGCGGUAAUACGUAGGGUGCAGGCGUUAAUCGGAAUUACUGGGCGUAAAGCGUGCGCAGGCGGUUUGCUAAGACAGGUGUGAAAUCCCCGGGCUUAACCUGGGAAUUGCGCUUGUAACUGGCAAGCUAGAGUGUGGCAGAGGGGGGUGGAAUUCCACGUGUAGCAGUGAAAUGCGUAGAUAUGUGGAGGAACACCGAUGGCGAAGGCAGCCCCCUGGGUUAACACUGACGCUCAUGCACGAAAGCGUGGGGAGCAAACAGGAUUAGAUACCCUGGUAGUCCACGCCCUAAACUAUGUCAACUAGUUGUCGGGGAAGAAAUUCCUUGGUAACGAAGCUAACGCGUGAAGUUGACCGCCUGGGGAGUACGGCCGCAAGGUUAAAACUCAAAGGAAUUGACGGGGACCCGCACAAGCGGUGGAUUAUGUGGAUUAAUUCGAUGCAACGCGAAAAACCUUACCUACCCUUGACAUGCUAGGAAGCCCGCAGAGAUGUGGGUGUGCCCGAAAGGGAACCUAGACACAGGUGCUGCAUGGCUGUCGUCAGCUCGUGUCGUGAGAUGUUGGGUUAAGUCCCGCAACGAGCGCAACCCUUGCCAUUAGUUGCUACAUUCAGUUGGGCACUCUAAUGGGACCGCCGGUGACAAACCGGAGGAAGGUGGGGAUGACGUCAAGUCCUCAUGGCCCUUAUGACUUGGGCUACACACGUACUACAAUGGCGUUAAACAAAGAGAAGCAAGACCGCGAGGUGGAGCAAAACUCAGAAACAACGUCCCAGUUCGGACUGCAGGCUGCAACUCGCCUGCACGAAGUCGGAAUUGCUAGUAAUCGUGGGUCAGCAUGCCACGGUGAAUACGUUCCC